rnacentral:rRNA from 1 species
ACGGAAGGCAGCAGUGAGGAAUAUUGGUCAAUGGUCGGAAGACUGAACCAGCCAUGCCGCGUGAAGGAUUAAGGCCCUAUGGGUCGUAAACUUCUUUUGUACGGGAGCAAUAAGGCUUACGAGUAGGCCGAUGAGAGUACCGUACGAAUAAGCAUCGGCUAACUCCGUGCCAGCAGCCGCGGUAAUACGGAGGAUGCAAGCGUUAUCCGGAUUUAUUGGGUUUAAAGGGUGCGUAGGCGGGAUGUUAAGUCAGCGGUGAAAGCGUGUAGCUCAACUAUACCAAGCCGUUGAAACUGGCGUUCUUGAGUGUAAACGAGGUAGGCGGAAUGUGACGUGUAGCGGUGAAAUGCUUAGAUAUGUCACAGAACCCCGAUUGCGAAGGCAGCUUACCAGCAUACAACUGACGCUGAGGCACGAAAGUGCGGGGAUCAAACAGGAUUAGAUACCCUGGUA